UACGAAGGGGCUAGCGUUGCUCGGAAUUACUGGGCGUAAAGCGCACGUAGGCGGACUCUUAAGUCGGUGGUGAAAUCCUGGAGCUCAACUCCAGAACUGCCUUCGAUACUGGGAGUCUUGAGUCCGGAGAGGUGAGUGGAACUGCGAGUGUAGAGGUGAAAUUCGUAGAUAUUCGCAAGAACACCAGUGGCGAAGGCGGGUCUCUGGGCAUUACCUGGACGCUGAGGAGGCGAAAGCAUGGGGAGCGAACGAGGA
rnacentral:rRNA from 1 species